rnacentral:siRNA from 1 species
GAUUUCACAACUCUCUUUGGGUCA